rnacentral:rRNA from 1 species
UACCCGCGCCCCUAGUGGUGGUCGAUAUUAUUGAGCCUAAAACGUUCGUAGCCGGUCUUUUAAAUCUUUGGGCAAAUCGGGCAGCUUAACUGUCCGACUUCCGAGGAGACUGGAAGACUUGGGACCGGGAGAGGUCAGAGGUACUUCUGGGGUAGGGGUAAAAUCCUGUAAUCCUGGAAGGACCACCGGUGGCGAAGGCGUCUGACUAGAACGGAUCCGACGGUGAGGGACGAAGCCCUGGGGCGCAAACGGGAUUAGAUACCCCGGUAGUCCAGGGUGUAAACGCUGCGGGCUUGGUGUUGGGGGUCCUUCGUGGGCGCCCAGUGCCGGAGAGAAGUUGUUAAGCCUGCUGCUUGGGGAGUAUGUCCGCAAGGAUGAAACUUAAAGGAAUUGGCGGGGGAGCACCGCAACGGGAGGAGCGUGCGGUUCAAUUGGAUUCAACGCUGAAAAACUCACCAGGAGCGACGGAUAUAUGAAGGUCAAGCUGAUGACUUUACCUGAUUUUCC